GUAUGAACAUCCUAGUCUUGAAAAGCAUGUAUUUCAUUCGCAGGUCUUCUGUAUCCUCAUGGUUCAGCUCAUGGUCACAUUUGGUGUGGUGUCACUCUUCACAUUUUGUGAACCAGUCCGGAAGUUUGUACAGUACAAUCGAGUUUUCUAUCUGACCUCAUACAUGACUUUUAUGGGAACAUACCUGAUGCUUGUAUGCAGCACAAAUGCACGGUAAGAAGA